UGAGCUAAAUCCCCGGCUCUUACAACAAUGUAAAUGUACUUGAUGCCACUCCAUUGUAUGCUUUUAAAAUGGUAAGUUAUUUUAUGUAUAGCUUACUGCAAUAAAAAUAUGUUAAAACAGGGCCGGGGAUUUAGCUCCAUGGUCCUGCCACCUGCCUCGCAAGCUCAAGGUCCCAAGUUAGAUCCCCGGUACCAAAAAAAAAAAGUUAAAACAGCAAAACUGUUUAAGAUCUACAGCAGCAAAAUUGUGCUCAUCUUGAAAAGAUAAAUGUCCUAGUUCAUCCAAGCUGGGAUCCCCACGGAGAACCAUGGGGACAGGAGGGGAGAGGAAGGCUCAGAGAUAGAAGCACACACCAAGCACCCAUGGGCAUCAGCAGCCCUCACAACCCUUAAGUACUGACAACACAUAGGAAUGGUUAUGGCCCCUCAGGCAUCUGCAAACAAGGCGGAGCUGUGAGGAGUUGGGUGGACACUGGGCAGCAGGGAGGGCCAGGCCACUCCACCGCACAUGCAGUGCUCAGAGCUGAGAAGAGCCCAUCGCAUCCCACCACCCAAACUUGCACUCGGAGGCCAUCUGCUCACACUUAACCUAAUCACUCCAGACAGUUUUUCUGAAAAGCGUCAUGAAGACCUUCAGCAUGAAGCACCCACCAGUGCCUUAAACUCCUGCCCCAGGGCUAAAUCACACCAUGAGAGCUUCUCUUCUUCUCCCAGCACACGCAAGGUCCUGAGUUGGAUCCCUAUGACCAUCAAAUCAAAAUAGCUGGCCUCAGACGGUUUCCAGUGGCUCAUCCUGCCCGGAGCACAGACACUAAAUGUUAACAUCCAGUUGUCUGCACUUAGCUCCUGGUGCCAGGUGACUGCCCCAGGGCUCCCUCUGGGAGUGAUUGUCUUUUCUUCAAUGAUGCCAGUCAACCACCUGGCAAAACAUCAUGCUGGUGACAGGAAAGGGAAUUCACUUCAUUCCUCCAGCAUGGAUGGAGGACCCACGACCGAACACCAGACCUGGGCCAGAGCCUGCGGCGUGGAGCUGAGUAAUCAACCCCUGCCCACUGGGGAUUCUCAGGUCUGGGGGGAGAGGCAGACAUGAAAACAAACACGUCCUGUACAGUGCCAUUAGUCUUGUACCAGCCGCCUCGGGAGCCCAGAGUAACGAACACCAUCUGGGGGGUUCCCAGGGGACUCAGGGAAGGCCUUACUGCACGGGUGCCUCUGAGCGGAGGUCUGCAAGGAUGACUGAAAGCUUCCAAGCAGGAUAAGACAAGGGAAAGAAUUAAUUCUCCUCAGAAGGAACCACCUGUGGAAAAGCAGAGAGGUGAAGAAGGACACGGCGUGUCUCAGAAACAAACGGCAAGGUAGCAGAGGUCCAGACAGGAGCCCAAGCAAGUAAAGUGGGCAACUUCACCCCAGCCAUCGCCCCUCAGAGCUCUAGCUCCACAGCUCCUGUGUAAGCAGUGUUAUCUUUCUAUGUAGAGAUCAUGUCUGUUGUGUGGGUGUUCCAGGUCCACGAUUAUAAGGUACUGAUACAAACUGUCAUCUCAAGGAAUCCAAGUCUUAUGUUUGAAAAAGCCACUGGAAGGGUCAUCUGAAUCUUUAAGCAGUUGUGAUACUCUGAAAUGUGAUUGCUGACUGGAACUGUGAAGAACCUGAUACUUGACAGAGGGGGAACCAGGCCUCAGAGAAGUGAAGGGGCCACCCACCCUCAACAUGGCGGGAUAAGCCACACCCAGCUCUCCAUACCAACCAUGCCAAACUUCCUUUCCUUCCUUUUUCCCCUUCAG
ensembl:lncRNA